rnacentral:rRNA from 1 species
UACGUAGGGGGCAAGCGUUGUCCGGAUUUAUUGGGCGUAAAGAGCGUGUAGGCGGCCAGACAGGUCAGCUGUGAAAACUCGAGGCUCAACCUCGAGACGUCGGUUGAAACCGUCUGGCUAGAGUCCGGAAGAGGAGAGUGGAAUUCCCGGUGUAGCGGUGAAAUGCGCAGAUAUCGGGAAGAACACCCGUGGCGAAGGUGGCUCUCUGGGACGGUACUGACGCUGAGACGCGAAAGCGUGGGGAGCGAACAGG